AUGGCGAAUCUGCGGCUCCACGGCACCAUCAAUGCCACCAUCGUGGGGGCUGACAACAUCCACGAUCGCUCCCGCCACACCGGCAUCGUCCCCAGUUUCCUCGGCAAUAUUGUGCAAGGUGUCCAAGAGACGACGGGUUUGGGCAAGGGCCUGCCGCGGGUGUACGCGGCCAUCUACCUCGGCAGUGCGUGCGUCGCCCGGACGCGUACCAUCGCCGUCCCUUCAACUGGAACCGCGCGAUGGAACGAGCCGCUCCGGGCCUACUGUGCCCACCAUGCCGCCGAUGUCGUCAUCUCUGUCAUGGUCGAGCAGCUCGGCCUCGCCGAUGACACAGUCCUCGGCAGCGCCUACCUGCCCGCUCUGGAGCUCCUCAACAGCGACGAGACAAUCGACCGCUGGUUCGAUGUCCUUGGCGCCAACAGAAAGAAGCUCUGGGAUGGGCCCAAGAUACACGUGCAGAUCAACUUCCGCGAUGUCGCUGACCAAGGCCUGGCGUGGGGCGGCGGCAUUGGCAUCGGCGGCGCCAAGGUGCCCCACACCUUCUUCUCGCAGAGGACGGGGUGCAGGGUCACCCUGUACCAGGACGCGCACGCGUCUGAGGAGUUUGACCCCAAGAUCCAGCUCGACGGCGGCGGGCUCUACAAGCCCGGGCACUGCUGGGAAGACCUGUACGACGCCAUCAGCAAUGCACGGCAUUUGGUGUACAUCACCGGCUGGUCGGUGUUCCCCCACAUCACGCUGGUGCGGGACGGGAACCAGCAGGAAACCCUCGGCGAGCUCCUGAAGCGCAAGGCCAACGAGGGCGUGCACGUGCUCCUGCUUGUGUGGAACGACGUCUCCUCCAUUGAAGGCUUGUAUGAAGCCGGCCUCUUGGGCACGAGGGACGAGGUGACGGCCAAGUACUUCCGCGGCAGCCGCGUGCAAUGCGUCCUCUGCCCGAGGAACAUGUACGUUAGAGGCUACAUCUUCGACGCCAAGCGGCCUACCGACUCCAUCUUUUACAGCCACCACCAGAAGGCAAUCGUCCUCGACCAGGAGCUGCCUUCAUCGUCGGACGGGCGCCGCCAGAUCGUCAGCUUCGUCGGCGGCCUCGACGUGAGCUAUGGACGCUAUGACACGCAGUCCCACUCCCUGUUCAGGACGCUGGGCACCGGGCAGGCACACAGCCAGGACUUCAACCAAGUCAACUUCAGGGACGAGUCUGCGACGCUCGAGAAGGGCGGGCCCAGGGAGCCAUGGCACGACAUCCACGCCAAGGUCGAGGGCCCCGUGGCAUGGGACGUGCUCCACAACUUCGAGCAGCGAUGGAGGAUACAAGGCGGCGACAAGGAGCACCUGGUCGACCUUGUAGCCAUCGAGGGCAAGGUCGCGCCGUCCUCAUUGCCGGUGACACUCCCCGGCGACCAGGAGGCGUGGAGUGUGCAGCUGUUCCGGUCCAUCGACAACAUGGCCACCGUGGGCUUCCCCGACUCCAUGGAGGCUGCCUACGAGGCCGGCCUCGUCCAGGACAAGCACCAUGUGUUCGAGAGGAGCAUCCAGGACGCCUACAUCCACGCAAUACGUGCCGCAAAGAACUUCAUCUACAUCGAGAACCAGUACUUCAUCGGCAGUUCCUUCCAGUGGAAGUCCGGCGUCGGCAUAGAUCCGGCGGCAGUCCAGGCGAAUCACACGAUCCCUAGAGAGCUCUCGCUCAAGAUCGUGAGGAAGAUCGAGGCCGGUGAGCGCUUCGCGGUCUACGUCGUGGUGCCCAUGUGGUCGGAAGGCUACCCUACGCAUAUGUACAGGCAGGCGAUGCUGGACAACCAGAGGAGGACCAUGUCCAUGAUGUACAACGACAUCGCCGCUGCGCUGCAGGCCAAGAACAUAGACGCUGAUCCCAGGGACUACCUUACCUUCUUCUGCUUAGGGAACCGCGAGGCGAGGAACCCAGAGGGCGGCGAAUACCAGCCUGCGAAAAUCCCAAAGGACGGGACGGACUAUGCCAAGGCGCAGAACGCACGCCGGUUCAUGAUCUACGUUCACUCCAAGAUGAUGAUAGUUGAUGACGAGUACAUCAUUGUCGGAUCUGCCAACCUCAACGAGCGGUCCAUGGCGGGGAACAGGGACACCGAGAUCGCCAUUGGCGCAUACCAGCCGCACCGCAUCAACACCGAUGCCGAGCUCGCUAGAGGGCACGUCCAUGGCUUCCGGAUGUCGCUCUGGUACGAGCACCUCGGCAAGACGCACGACGACUUCCUCCGCCCGGGGAGCCUAGAAUGCAUGCGGAGGGUCAACAAGAUGGCCGAUGAGUACUGGAACCUCUACAUCGGCGACGAGCUUACGGGCGACCUCCCAGGCCACCUGCUCACCUACCCCGUCGCCGUAAGCAAGGCCGGCACAACCUGGAUGAUACCGGGAUUCGAAUUCUUCCCUGACACAGAGGCCCGCGUCCUUGGUAAGCCAACUGGACAUGACGAUUAUUACAUGAGCACAUAG
rnacentral:rRNA from 1 species